GAAGCAAGCCAGUAAGCAGCAUCCCUCCAUGGCCUCUGCAUCAGCUCCUGCUUCCAAGUUCCUGUCCUGUCUUAAAGAUCAGGAGGUGGAUGUAGGACUCAGACUGUGAGGUCCAGAGAGUAAGGCCUGGCUCAAUGCUCAACGGACAUCAGGUCAGAUGGUCACUUGGAAGAGUUUUGUGACGAGCAUCAACAGAAUUUCUGUAGUGGUGCCUGGAACUGACGCUGCAUUGUGGGACUAUUUUACCUCUCACUUAGAGGAGAGGGCCUGUGCUUUGAAACUUAACAAAAUCACUAGAACGGCUAAGACUGAGGGGAAGAGCUUGCAAGCCUUUCAGGGUUCCAAAGAGAUAGUGGAUGCCUGUGCUCCUGGCAGCAUCUCAUGCAGUCUUCCAGAUUGCUCUUCGGGUUCAUCAGGAGUUAUAUGGUAUCUCUGUUCCCAGCUCCAGGAUACAAGGAGGUCAAGAGACUUUCUGUUUGGGAGUUAAUGUCUCCAUCAUGCUGAAGUAACAAAGAGUUCUCCACACAAGCAGUGCAGGAGUGUUACUGUGUUACAUCCACUCCAGGAGUGAUAAGCACAACAGGCCCCAAAAACCUGGGCGCUGUCCUGAGGCGAGGUGAAAAGUUCAUGGAAACUUAGUCUCCUGGAAUCAUGGCAUCCUGUAUAAUGAAUGCUCCAAUGUCCUUGCUUUAGUUGGUAAAUGGAUCUGUGUGCUUUCCCUUAAUAUUGCUUUAUUAUAAGUGCUUCCAAGGAUUGAUUUUUUUUUUUGACAUAUAGCUAAGUUAGAUUCUAGGCAGUCCUUGAGCCGACCCUGGGCAUGGAUAGCUAAGUCACUGCCUUACACAGGAAUUUACCAUUAUCUAGGAAGAAGGAAGUUUGUGAUCUAAGGAGGNNNNNNNNNNNNNNCUAGGGGGAAGGUGGACUAUACAAUAGACUAGAAUAGGAACUAUGGCAAGGGCAUGAAGCCCUUGCCCCUGGCUUCUAAGAUUAAGUGGACCUUAGGUGGGGCUACUUUUGAUUCCCAGUUGUUAACAAUGAAUUUUAUCCCAGUUGGUUCUUGCCAGCCCUUCCGUGUUUGCAUUCCUCUGUUUUAUGUAAGAAUCCAGUAACCUCAUUGUACCUUGCUGGUGUGUCACCUAACUUCCCUAUUUUCUUCUGUAUAUUUGAUGCGCCAUUUGACAAAUUACAUUCAGAUCC
rnacentral:lncRNA from 1 species